rnacentral:snRNA from 1 species
CGAGUUGUGUUCAAAAUUAGACU